rnacentral:rRNA from 1 species
GACGAACCGUGCGAACGUUGUUCGGAAUCACUGGGCUUAAAGGGCGCGUAGGCGGACCACCAAGUCCGGGGUGAGAUCUUUCGGCUCAACCGGAAAACAGCCUUGGAUACUGGCGGUCUCGAGCGAGGUAGGGGCAGCUGGAACUUCCGGUGGAGCGGUGAAAUGCAUUGAUAUCGGAAGGAACGCCGGUGGCGAAAGCGAGCUGCUGGACCUCUCCUGACGCUGAGGCGCGAAAGCCAGGGGAGCAAACGGG